ensembl:lncRNA
CUUCUCCCAGCUGUCUGUCUGUGAAGAGUGACCCUUCUCCCAGCUGUCUGUCUGUGAAGAGUGACCCUUCUCCCAGCUGUCUGUCUGUGAAGAGGGACCCUUCUCCCAGCUGUCUGUCUGUGAAGAGGGACCCUUCUCCCAGCUGUCUGUCUGUGAAUAGUGACAGCUCCAAAUCCCUUGGCCCCAACUUCAGAGAUGACCCUGAACCAAGUGCCGUUUUGCAGAUCAAGGAGCUGCUGGAUCCUGCCUCCAAAUGUCAGACCUGGUUAGAUGGCUGCAAUCAGUAUUGCUGAUGAUCUGAAAAUAUUCAUACAUCAUACAUACAUCUUCUUCCGCUUCAUCCGGGGCCGGGUCGCGGGGGCAGCAGUCUAAGCAGGGAUGCCCAGACUUCCCUCUCCCCAGACACUUCCUCCAGCUCUUCCGGGGGGACACCGAGGCGUUCCCAGGCCAGCCGGGAGACAUAGUCCCUCCAGCGUGUCCUAGGUCUUCCCCGGGGUCUCCUCCCGGUGGGACGGGCCCGGAACAUCUUCCCAGGAAGGCGUUCCGGAGGCAUCUGAAACAGAUGCCCAAGCCACCUCAGCUGACCCCUCUUGAUGUGGAGGAGCAGCGGCUCUACUCUGAGUUCCUCCCGGGUGACCGAGCUUCUCACCCUAUCUCUAAGGGAUCGCCCAGCCACCCUGCGGAGAAAGCUCAUUUCGGCCGCCUGUAUCCGGGAUCUUGUCCUUUUGGUCAUGACCCAAAGCUCAUGACCAUAGGUGAGAGUAGGAACGUAGAUUGACCGGUAAAUCGAGAGCUUCGCCUUGCGGCUCAGCUCUUUCUUCACCACGAGAGACCGAUACAUCGACCGCAUUACUGCAGAAGCUGCACCAAUCCGUCUGUCAAUCUCCUGUUCCAUCCUUCCCUCACUCGUGAACAAGACCCCUAGAUACUUAAACUCCUCCACUUGAGGCAGGCACUCUCCACCAACCUGAAGUGGGCAAGCCACCCUUUUUCCGACUGAGGACCAUGGCCUCGGAUUUGGAGGUACAUCCCCACCGCUUCACACUCGGCUGCAAACCGUCCCAGUGCAUGCUGAAGGUCCUGGUUUGAAGGGGCCAACACGACAACAUCAUCCGCAAAGAGCAGAGACGAAAUCGUGUGGUCCCCAAACCUGACACCCUCCGGCCCCUGGCUGCGCCUAGAAAUUCUGUCCAUAAAAACCCUGUGUCCCUCGCAGCAUCCUGUGGAGAGUGCUUCGGGAAUAUGGGGUCCUGGGUCCUUUGCUAAGGGCUGUCAGGUCCCUGUACGACCGAAGCAGGAGUUUGGUCCGCAUUGCCGGCAGUAAGUCAGACUUGUUCCCAGUGCAUGUUGGACUCCGGCAGGGCUGCCCUUUGUCGCCGGUUCUGUUCAUAAUUUAGAAAUAUUCAAAUUAUUGUAAUACAUUUAGCUUUUAUGGACAAAUUUGAAUAUAGUUUUAGGAAAAAAAAUUACAACCAUAGUAGGAUCUUUCUUUUAUUUAAUGUUAUUUACUUUUUUUACUGUUAUAUGUAAGUACUUAUUUUUUUUGUCAUAUUUUCUCAAUUUCAUAGAAACAUUCUGUUGUUACCAGUUUUCUUUUUUUAUUAUAAAGCUUCUUGGCAAUAAUGUGCA